GAAGAUCGGAGAGAGAGAAGCAAUGAGGAUCGGUGAGAGAGGCAGUGAAGAUAGGAGAAAGAUCAGAAGAUCGAACGGGUGUUCCAUACAACAUCAGAUUCAGAUCUGGUUCAAGUGGUGGAGGUGACGGUGGUUCCUCCUGCCGGAAAACCACUUAGUAGACACUUGGCGGUGGUGGUCCAUGAUCUAAAAGAUGAUCUGAAAUCCAAAAAGAGGAUCCAGUUCCAAGAUGCUACCAGAUCCAAAAGAUGCUCCAGAUCCGGUUGAAGAUGUUCGAUGUUGAAGAUGAUAUUCCAUAUAACGCCUAGCAACUGCCCUUUCAUUGGUUGGGUCGACCCACCGAUGUGCUUACGGUCAACUAGGAUCAUACCAGGUCUUUUGAGGAACAUCAACAACCUGCAAGCUGAACUGUUUACCCGUGAGCAAGAAAUUCGGAAGAAGAAGAGGGUUAUAUGGUUACUGAUAUUAGCGUUAGUGAUUGGCAGCUUACUUGUUAGCAUUGUUUGUUGUGAUUAAGAAAUAGGUGGUACUUAGUUGGAUUAUCCUUCUUAGUAUGUUAA